AUGCGAUAAGUAAUGUGAAUUGCAGAAUUCAGUGAAUCAUCGAAUCUUUGAACGCACAUUGCGCCCGCCAGUACUCUGGCGGGCAUGCCUGUCCGAGCGUCAUUUCAACCCUCAAGCCCCAGCGGUUUGGUGUUGGGCAUCGGCCGUCCUCUGCGACGGCCGUGCCCCAAAUACAGUGGCGGACUCGCUGUUGCCUCCUCUGCGUAGUAAUUACACCUCGCACCGGAUAGACACGAAGUCCACGCCGUAAAACAACCCAAUUUCUGAAUGUUGACCUCGGAUCAGGUAGGAAUACCCGCUGAACUUAA
rnacentral:misc_RNA from 1 species